UACGAAGGGGCUAGCGUUGUUCGGAAUUACUGGGCGUAAAGCGCACGUAGGCGGAUAUUUAAGUCAGGGUGAAAUCCCGCAGCUCAACUGCGGAACUGCCUUUGAUACUGGGUAUCUUGAGUAUGGAAGAGGUUAGUGGAAUUGCGAGUGUAGAGGUGAAAUUCGUAGAUAUCGGGAGGAACACCGGUGGCGAAGGCGGCGACCUGGGUAGAUACUGACGCUGAGGCGGCGAAAGCGUGGGAGCAAACAGG
rnacentral:rRNA from 1 species